rnacentral:rRNA from 1 species
CCUACGGGAGGCAGCAGUGGGGAAUAUUGCACAAUGGGCGAAAGCCUGAUGCAGCGACGCCGCGUGAGGGAUGACGGCCUUCGGGUUGUAAACCUCUUUCAGCAGGGACGAAGCGAAAGUGACGGUACCUGCAGAAGAAGCGCCGGCCAACUACGUGCCAGCAGCCGCGGUAAGACGUAGGGCGCGAGCGUUGUCCGGAUUUAUUGGGCGUAAAGAGCUCGUAGGCGGCUUGUCGCGUCGACUGUGAAAACCCGCGGCUCAACCGUGUGGUCUGCAGUCGAUACGGGCAGGCUAGAGUUCGGUAGGGGAGACUGGAAUUCCUGGUGUAGCGGUGAAAUGCGCAGAUAUCAGGAGGAACACCGGUGGCGAAGGCGGGUCUCUGGGCCGAUACUGACGCUGAGGAGCGAAAGCGUGGGGAGCGAACAGGAUUAGAUACCCUG